GUGCCAGCCGCCGCGGUAACACGUAAGGUGCAAGCGUUGUUCGGAAUUAUUGGGCGUAAAGGGCAUGUAGGCGGUUCUCUAAGCUUGGUGUGAAAUCCCGGGGCUUAACCCCGGAACUGCAUUGAGAACUGGAGAACUAGAGUGACUGAGGGGCAGCCAGAAUUCCAGGUGUAGGGGUGAAAUCUGUAGAUAUCUGGAAGAAUACCAAUGGCGAAGGCAGGCUGCCAGCAGAUGACUGACGCUGAGGUGCGAAGGUGCGGGGAGCAAACAGGAUUAGAUACCCUGGUAGUCCGCACAGUCAACGAUGUACACCGGGUGUCUGGCCAAGAGGCCGGGUGCCGUAGUAAACGCGAUAAGUGUACCGCCUGGGGAGUAUGCCCGCAAGGGUGAAACUUAAAUGAAUUGACGG
rnacentral:rRNA from 1 species